GACGAACGCUGGCGGCGUGCCUAAUACAUGCAAGUAGAACGCUGAAGCGAGGAGCUUGCUCUUCUUGGAUGAGUUGCGAACGGGUGAGUAACGCGUAGGUAACCUGCCUUGUAGCGGGGGAUAACUAUUGGAAACGAUAGCUAAUACCGCAUAACAAUGGAUGACCCAUGUCAUUUAUUUGAAAGGGGCAAAUGCUCCACUACAAGAUGGACCUGCGUUGUAUUAGCUAGUAGGUGAGGUAACGGCUCACCUAGGCGACGAUACAUAGCCGACCUGAGAGGGUGAUCGGCCACACUGGGACUGAGACACGGCCCAGACUCCUACGGGAGGCAGCAGUAGGGAAUCUUCGGCAAUGGGGGCAACCCUGACCGAGCAACGCCGCGGGAGUGAAGAAGGUUUUCGGAUCGUAAAGCUCGGUUGUAAGUCAAGAACGAGUGUGAGAGUGGAAAGUUCACACUGUGACGGUAGCUUACCAGAAAGGGACGGCUAACUACGUG
rnacentral:rRNA from 1 species